rnacentral:lncRNA from 1 species
GAGUGUGGCUCGGCCAAUCCUUGUAUAUCCAUGGAUAGGUUCUUAACCAAUUAUUUCACCAAAUAAUUUUUAGUAUUCAAUUUUGCCCCAGACACCUCUUCAGCAAGCGUGUGGUGCCUUUACUGAAGGUUCUGGUUAGGUUCAACUAUUAACAUGCCAGAAUUUAGUGUAUCUAACAAACGAAUGAUCAGGUUCGAGUGUGUUUCGGCCAACCUGACUAUCAUCAGAAAGACACAACUAAAACAACAUAUUAUGGAUGAUAAUUCCGACAGCC